UGCGUAGGGUGCAGGCGUUAAUCGGAAUUACUGGGCGUAAAGCGUGCGCAGGCGGUUUGCUAAGACAGGUGUGAAAUCCCCGGGCUUAACCUGGGAACUGCGCUUGUAACUGGCAAGCUAGAGUGUGGCAGAGGGGGGUGGAAUUCCACGUGUAGCAGUGAAAUGCGUAGAGAUGUGGAGGAACACCGAUGGCGAAGGCAGCCCCCUGGGCUAACACUGACGCUCAUGCACGAAAGCGUGGGGAGCAAACAGG
rnacentral:rRNA from 1 species